rnacentral:rRNA from 1 species
AAUAUACAAGGUGCUGCAUGGUUGUCGUCAGCUCGUGCCGUGAGGUGUCGGGUUAAGUCCCAUAACGAGCGCAACCCCUAUCAUUAGUUGCCAUCAGGUCAAGCUGGGGACUCUAAUGAAACUGCCUACGCAAGUAGUGAGGAAGGUGGGGAUGACGUCAAAUCAGCACGGCCCUUACGUCCAGGGCUACACACGUGCUACAAUGGCCGGUACAAAGGGCAGCUACCUGGUGACAGGAUGCUAAUCUCAAAAGCCGGUCUCAGUUCGGAUCGGAGUCUGCAACCCGACUCCGUGAAGCUGGAAUCGCUAAGUAAUCGCGCAUCAGCCAUGGCGCGGUGAAUACGUUCCCGGGCCUU